rnacentral:rRNA from 1 species
UACAGAGGGGGCAAGCGUUGUUCGGAAUUACUGGGCGUAAAGGGCUCGUAGGCGGCCUACUAAGUCGGACGUGAAAUCCCCCGGCUUAACCUGGGAACUGCGUCUGAUACUGGAAGGCUUGAGGAUGGGAGAGGGAUGUAGAAUUCCAGGUGUAGCGGUGAAAUGCGUAGAUAUCUGGAGGAAUACCGGUGGCGAAGGCGGCAUCCUGGACCAUUACUGACGCUGAGGAGCGAAAGCGAGGGGAGCAAACGGG